rnacentral:rRNA from 1 species
AGUGAACGCUGGCGAUAGGCCUAACACAUGCAAGUCGAACGGCAGCACAGUAAGAGCUUGCUCUUACGGGUGGCGAGUGGCGGACGGGUGAGGAAUACAUCGGAAUCUACUUUUUCGUGGGGGAUAACGUAGGGAAACUUACGCUAAUACCGCAUACGACCUACGGGUGAAAGCAGGGGAUCUUCGGACCUUGCGCGAUUGAAUGAGCCGAUGUCGGAUUAGCUAGUUGGCGGGGUAAAGGCCCACCAAGGCGACGAUCCGUAGCUGGUCUGAGAGGAUGAUCAGCCACACUGGAACUGAGACACGGUCCAGACUCCUACGGGAGGCAGCAGCGGGGAAUAUUGGACAAUGGGCGCAAGCCUGAUCCAGCCAUACCGCGUGGGUGAAGAAGGCCUUCGGGUUGUAAAGCCCUUUUGUUGGGAAAGAAAAGCAGCAGGUUAAUACCCCGCUGUUCUGACGGUACCCAAAGAAUAAGCACCGGCUAACUUCGUG